UGUGUACUCCAUCCGUUCCAAAAUACUUGACUUCCAUUUGUCCAAAAAUGGAUGUACCUAUAUACUAAAACAUGUCUAGAUACAUAUAUAUUUUGACAAAUAGAAGGCAUGUAUUGUGCAACGGAGGGAGUAGAAU
rnacentral:pre_miRNA from 1 species